rnacentral:rRNA from 1 species
AUUGAACGCUGGCGGUAGGCCUAACACAUGCAAGUCGAACGCGAAAGUCCUUCGGGAUGAGUAGAGUGGCGGACGGGUGAGUAACGCGUAGGAAUCUGUCCUGUAGUGGGGGAUAACGUUUCGAAAGGAACGCUAAUACCGCAUACGCCCUACGGGGGAAAGCGGGGGAUCUUCGGACCUCGUGCUAUAGGAGGAGCCUGCGUCGGAUUAGCUAGUUGGUGGGGUAAAGGCUCACCAAGGCGACGAUCCGUAGCUGGUCUGAGAGGAUGAUCAGCCACACCGGAACUGAGACACGGUCCGGACUCCUACGGGAGGCAGCAGUGGGGAAUAUUGCGCAAUGGGCGAAAGCCUGACGCAGCCAUACCGCGUGUGUGAAGAAGGCCUUCGGGUUGUAAAGCACUUUCAGUGGGGAGGAAAAGCUGGCGGCUAAUAUCCGCCGGCCGUGACGCUACCCACAGAAGAAGCACCGGCUAAUUCCGUGCCAGCCGCCGCCGUAAGAC